rnacentral:rRNA from 1 species
CCUACGGGAGGCAGCAGUGGGGAAUUUUCCGCAAUGGGCGAAAGCCUGACGGAGCAACGCCGCGUGGGGGAUGAAGGCCUCUGGGCUGUAAACCCCUUUUCUCAAGGAAGAAGACCUGACGGUACUUGAGGAAUAAGCCACGGCUAAUUCCGUGCCAGCAGCCGCGGUAAUACGGGAGUGGCAAGCGUUAUCCGGAAUUAUUGGGCGUAAAGCGUCCGCAGGCGGCCUAUUAAGUCUGUCGUUAAAGCGUGGAGCUCAACUCCAUUUAAGCGAUGGAGACUGGAAGGCUAGAGUGUGGUAGGGGCAGAGGGAAUUCCCGGUGUAGCGGUGAAAUGCGUAGAUAUCGGGAAGAACACCAGUGGCGAAGGCGCUCUGCUGGGCCAUAACUGACGCUCAUGGACGAAAGCCAGGGGAGCGAAAGGGAUUAGAUACCCCUGUAGUCCUGGCCGUAAACGAUGAACACUAGGUGUCGGGGGAAUCGACCCCCUCGGUGUCGUAGCUAACGCGUUAAGUGUUCCGCCUGGGGAGUACGCACGCAAGUGUGAAACUCAAAUGAAUUGACGG